rnacentral:rRNA from 1 species
GUGGGGAAUAUUGGACAAUGGGCGAAAGCCUGAUCCAGCCAUGCCGCGUGUGUGAAGAAGGUCUUUGGAUUGUAAAGCACUUUAAGUUGGGAGGAAGGGCAGUAAGUUAAUACCUUGCUGUUUUGACGUUACCGACAGAAUAAGCACCGGCUAACUUCGUGCCAGCAGCCGCGGUAAUACGAAGGGUGCAAGCGUUAAUCGGAAUUACUGGGCGUAAAGCGCGCGUAGGUGGUUUUGUAAGUUGGAGGUGAAAUCCCCGGGCUCAACCUGGGAACUGCCUCCAAAACUGCAUGACUAGAGUACGGUAGAGGGUAGUGGAAUUUCCUGUGUAGCGGUGAAAUGCGUAGAUAUAGGAAGGAACACCAGUGGCGAAGGCGACUACCUGGACUGAUACUGACACUGAGGUGCGAAAGCGUGGGGAGCAAACAGGAUUAGAAACCCCGGUAGUCC